UCCGUAGGUGAACCUGCGGAAGGAUCAUUAUUGAAAAACUUUGUAGGUUGUGGUUGAGCUGGCCUCCUUUGAGGCAUGUGCUUGCUAUUGGCCUUCAAAAAAUCUUCAUCCCACCUGUGCACACUUUGUAGGAAGGAAAGAUUCCAAGUAAAGGAACUCAUGGCCUGGUUAGCUCUGGGCCUGUUGCUUGAAAAUGGGGGUUUUUUCUAUCCUAUGUUUUUACACACACAAUUGAAUGUUUAGAAUGUCUUUAUUUUUGAAGAGUGUAACAACUCUUUUAAAAACAUAAUACAACUUUCAGCAACGGAUCUCUUGGCUCUCGCAUCGAUGAAGAACGCAGCGAAAUGCGAUAAGUAAUGUGAAUUGCAGAAUUCAGUGAAUCAUCGAAUCUUUGAACGCACCUUGCGCCUCUUGGUAUUCCGAGAGGCAUGCCUGUUUGAGUGUCAUUAAAUUCUCAACUUCAAUAGUUUUUAUAACUUGUUGAAGCUUGGAUGUGGAGGUUUCUGCUGGCUUUCAUUAGUCGGCUCCUCUUAAAUGUAUUAGUGGAGACUGUUUGUGGUCCACAAUUAGUGUGAUAAUUAUCUACGCUAUUUAUGGUACUGCACGCUUCGUAGUGUUUCGAUUGGGAAGCUGCAUGAAUAUUAGUGCUCUUUCUGCUUCAAUGAACCUGCAAACGUGAAGUCAUUCCGCUUCUAACCGUCUUCUUGCAAGACAAUUUCUUGACUUUUUGACCUCAAAUCANGUAGGACUACCCGCUGAACUUAAGCAUAUCAAUAAGCGGAGGA
rnacentral:rRNA from 1 species